rnacentral:tRNA from 4 species
GCGGGGGUGCCCGAGCUUGGCCAAAGGGGGCGGACUUAAGAUCCGCUGGCGUAGGCCUGCGUGGGUUCAAAUCCCACCCCCCGCA